rnacentral:rRNA from 1 species
AGUGAACGCUGGCGGUAGGCCUAACACAUGCAAGUCGAACGGCAGCACAGUAAGAGCUUGCUCUUACGGGUGGCGAGUGGCGGACGGGUGAGGAAUACAUCGGAAUCUACUUUUUCGUGGGGGAUAACGUAGGGAAACUUACGCUAAUACCGCAUACGACCUACGGGUGAAAGCAGGGGAUCUUCAGACCUUGCGCGAUUGAAUGAGCCGAUGUCGGAUUAGCUAGUUGGCGGGGUAAAGGCCCACCAAGGCGACGAUCCGUAGCUGGUCUGAGAGGAUGAUCAGCCACACUGGAACUGAGACACGGUCCAGACUCCUACGGGAGGCAGCAGUGGGGAAUAUUGGACAAUGGGCGCAAGCCUGAUCCAGCCAUACCGCGUGGGUGAAGAAGGCCUUCGGGUUGGAAAGCCCUUUUGUUGGGAAAGAAAAGCAGCAGGUUAAUACCCCGCUGUUCUGACGGUACCCAAAGAAUAAGCACCGGCUAACUUCGUG